GCCCAGAGCCUGAAUCAGUGUGUGUGUUAGUGGAAGCGUCUGGAAAGGCGCGCGAUACAGGGUGACAGCCCCGUACACAAAAAUGCACAUGCUGUGAGCUCGAUGAGUAGGGCGGGACACGUGGUAUCCUGUCUGAAUAUGGGGGGACCAUCCUCCAAGGCUAAAUACUCCUGACUGACCGAUAGUGAACCAGUACCGUGAGGGAAAGGCGAAAAGAACCCCGGCGAGGGGAGUGAAAAAGAACCUGAAACCGUGUACGUACAAGCAGUGGGAGCACGCUUAGGCGUGUGACUGCGUACCUUUUGUAUAAUGGGUCAGCGACUUAUAUUCUGUAGCAAGGUUAACCGAAUAGGGGAGCCGAAGGGAAACCGAGUCUUAACUGGGCGUUAAGUUGCAGGGUAUAGACCCGAAACCCGGUGAUCUAGCCAUGGGCAGGUUGAAGGUUGGGUAACACUAACUGGAGGACCGAACCGACUAAUGUUGAAAAAUUAGCGGAUGACUUGUGGCUGGGGGUGAAAGGCCAAUCAAACCGGGAGAUAGCUGGUUCUCCCCGAAAGCUAUUUAGGUAGCGCCUCGUGAAUUCAUCUCCGGGGGUAGAGCACUGUUUCGGCAAGGGGGUCAUCCCGACUUACCAACCCGAUGCAAACUGCGAAUACCGGAGAAUGUUAUCACGGGAGACACACGGCGGGUGCUAACGUCCGUCGUGAAGAGGGAAACAACCCAGACCGCCAGCUAAGGUCCCAAAGUCAUGGUUAAGUGGGAAACGAUGUGGGAAGGCCCAGACAGCCAGGAUGUUGGCUUAGAAGCAGCCAUCAUUUAAAGAAAGCGUAAUAGCUCACUGGUCGAGUCGGCCUGCGCGGAAGAUGUAACGGGGCUAAACCAUGCACCGAAGCUGCGGCAGCGACACUAUGUGUUGUUGGGUAGGGGAGCGUUCUGUAAGCCUGUGAAGGUGUACUGUGAGGUAUGCUGGAGGUAUCAGAAGUGCGAAUGCUGACAUAAGUAACGAUAAAGCGGGUGAAAAGCCCGCUCGCCGGAAGACCAAGGGUUCCUGUCCAACGUUAAUCGGGGCAGGGUGAGUCGACCCCUAAGGCGAGGCCGAAAGGCGUAGUCGAUGGGAAACAGGUUAAUAUUCCUGUACUUGGUGUUACUGCGAAGGGGGGACGGAGAAGGCUAUGUUGGCCGGGCGACGGUUGUCCCGGUUUAAGCGUGUAGGCUGGUUUUCCAGGCAAAUCCGGAAAAUCAAGGCUGAGGCGUGAUGACGAGGCACUACGGUGCUGAAGCAACAAAUGCCCUGCUUCCAGGAAAAGCCUCUAAGCAUCAGGUAACAUCAAAUCGUACCCCAAACCGACACAGGUGGUCAGGUAGAGAAUACCAAGGCGCUUGAGAGAACUCGGGUGAAGGAACUAGGCAAAAUGGUGCCGUAACUUCGGGAGAAGGCACGCUGAUAUGUAGGUGAAGUCCCUCGCGGAUGGAGCUGAAAUCAGUCGAAGAUACCAGCUGGCUGCAACUGUUUAUUAAAAACACAGCACUGUGCAAACACGAAAGUGGACGUAUACGGUGUGACGCCUGCCCGGUGCCGGAAGGUUAAUUGAUGGGGUCAGCGCAAGCGAAGCUCUUGAUCGAAGCCCCGGUAAACGGCGGCCGUAACUAUAACGGUCCUAAGGUAGCGAAAUUCCUUGUCGGGUAAGUUCCGACCUGCACGAAUGGCGUAAUGAUGGCCAGGCUGUCUCCACCCGAGACUCAGUGAAAUUGAACUCGCUGUGAAGAUGCAGUGUACCCGCGGCAAGACGGAAAGACCCCGUG
rnacentral:rRNA from 1 species